GUUAUUGUAAAUUAAUCUAAGAGAACAUUCAAAUAUAACUCCUUCAUAUGUGUAUGUUUAGCUUUAUAUGAAAGCUUUACAUUUCAUUCUGCUGCCAACUUUUAUACAGCACAAACUCUGAAUUAAAAUUUAAAAAAUCCCAUCAAUUAUUGAUGCUAUUGAGUGACACAAAUCAAUGACCAAAGGAAGAGUCUCUAAAUCUGUUAAUAUUGAUAAUCAAUUGUGUAUGUCCACAUACACAUAAAUAAUGUAUGGGUACUUUAGGAUAGGGAGAAUAGAGCUCACAGACUGUUGCUUGAGGGAGCUAAGUUAUGCUGAUUCACAAAUGAUUCUGAUCAACUGUUAUUAAUGGUAAAGCAAAGUGUUUCUGACCCUGGCCAUUCAAAGUGUAGUCCAUAGACCUGCAGAAGUAGACUCAGCUGGGCAGGUGGUAGAGUGAAGAAUAUCAGCCCCUCCCUGUGAUACACUAAGGAUCUGUGUUGUAGCCAGGUGAUCUGUGUGUUUGAGAAGCACUUCCAGAAAGCAGGAAAGGAACUGGAUCCUACCAGGAGAAUCUGUAUUGCAUUGAAAGUAGCUUUUGAGGGGCACUAGAAGCUCAUUCAAAAUCCUAGGCUACUAGGGGCUUUAGGAAAAAAAAAAUUAGGAAAAAUUUCCCUCACCAUUCCAAGGACUAUUUGUGGUUCAUCUAUAAACUCCUUGGCCACUUUUCUUCCUGUUUUAUUUGAAAUUGCAUUUAUCCAUUUACUUUUAGGAUCACUAUGAUGCCACUGGUGUUUUCAAGAAGAAAUACGUAGGACACCUCUCUUCCUUCCUGCUAUACCUACACCAUAUGUACCUCAUUUAGACCUCCUUGUACUCAUUCACUUACCAGUGCCAAAUGAAUCACCCAUCAAACACAACAGUAAUUCCAAUUAAUGCAAUAAAAAUUACAGUAAAAAUUGCUAGAGAAGGUAAAUGUCCACUGCAUUUAGACAAAGUAUGGUCUUAUUUACCGUAUUAUGAAAAACAAAAGCUUUAGAAACUGGUCAAAUGUCAUCUUGCUAAUAAGUGGCAGUUUUUCAAAUAAAAAAUAAGAAUAAAAUAAAUAAGUGAAGAGUUUGGGCACCUGAUGGCACUUUUAUGCAGAUUCUCCUCGAGAACAAUUCCUAUCUCAUCCUGAGGCACAACAGUAUUUAUUCAAUGAGCAAAUAGAUAAGUCAAUAAAGGAAUGAAUUCAUAAAUACUGUUAACUCCACU